GUCGCCCAUGCGUUGCACUAUUGCACGGGCUUGGCUCAA
rnacentral:snRNA from 1 species